rnacentral:rRNA from 1 species
GCAGAGAUUUUUCCUCGUACCUUUUGCAUCAUGAUUUAGCCAGCAUCCUUUAAGCAAAGAGAACUUUAGUUUAAAACCCCGAAACUGAGUGAGCUACUCCAAGACAGCCUAAAAAUAGGGCGAACCCGUCUCUGUGGCAAAAGAGUGGGAUGAGCUUCGAGUAGAGGUGACAGACCUAUCGAACUCAGUUAUAGCUGGUUGCCUGUGAAUUGGAUAGAAGUUCAGCCUCCCGGCUUCUCCCUAAACCGCGAGAGUUAGUCAAAGGAGGAACAGCUCCUUUGAACAAAGACACAACUUUACCAGGAGGGUAAAGAUCAUAAUCUUCAAGGCAAAAUGUUUUAGUGGGCCUAAAAGCAGCCAUCCUAAUAGAAAGCGUUAAAGCUCAAACAUUAUCCUGAUAACUUAAUCUAAACCCCCUAAUUCUACCAGGCCGCCCCAUGCAAACAUGGGGGCGACUAUGCUAAUAUGAGUAAUAAGAGAGAGCUCUCUCCCUGCACACGCAUAAAUCGGAACGGACCUACCACCGAACAUUAACGGCCCCAAACAAAGAGGGUACUGGAUAUAACUAGAAAUUCAUCCACCGUUAACCCCACACAGGUGUGCUAUUAAGGAAAGACCAAAAGAAAGAGAAGGAACUCGGCAAACAAGCCUCGCCUGUUUACCAAAAACAUCGCCUCUUGCAAGAAUAAGAGGUCCCGCCUGCCCAGUGACAAUCAAAGUUUAACGGCCGCGGUAUUUUGACCGUGCAAAGGUAGCGUAAUCACUUGUCUUUUAAAUGAAGACCCGUAUGAAUGGCAUAACGAGGGCUUAACUGUCUCCUCUUUCUAGUCAAUGAAAUUGAUCUUCCCGUGCAGAAGCGGGAAUAACUACAUAAGACGAGAAGACCCUAUGGAGCUUUAGACACUAAGACAGACCAUGUUAAUCAACUCUAAACAAAGAAUUAAACUAAAUGACACCCUGUCCUACUGUCUUCGGUUGGGGCGACCAUGGGGAAGCACAAAACCCCCACGUGGAAUGAGAGGACUCCCACAAUUAAGAGUUACAACUCUAACCAACAGAACUUCUGACCAAACAUGAUCCGGCAAUGCCGAUCAACGAACCAAGUUACCCUAGGGAUAACAGCGCAAUCCCCUUUUAGAGUCCAUAUCGACAAGGGGGUUUACGACCUCGAUGUUGGAUCAGGACAUCCUAAUGGUGCAG